UACGGGGGGGGCAAGCGUUGUCCGGAAUUAUUGGGCGUAAAGCGCGCGCAGGCGGCCUUUUAAGUCUGAUGUGAAAGCCCACGGCUCAACCGUGGAAGGUCAUUGGAAACUGAAAGGCUUGAGUACAGAAGAGGAAAGCGGAAUUCCACGUGUAGCGGUGAAAUGCGUAGAGAUGUGGAGGAACACCAGUGGCGAAGGCGGCUUUCUGGUCUGUAACUGACGCUGAGGCGCGAAAGCGUGGGGAGCAAACAGG
rnacentral:rRNA from 1 species